AGGCGACGAUGGGUAGGGGGCGUGAGAGCGUGAUCCCCCACACGGGUACUGAGACACGGACCCGACUCCUACGGGAGGCAGCAGUAAGGAAUAUUGGACAAUGGGCGGAAGCCUGAUCCAGCCAUCCCGCGUGUAGGAAGACUGCCCUAUGGGUUGUAAACUACUUUUAUUAUGGAAGAAACCCCGAGACUUGUCUUGGGCUGACGGUACCUAAAGAAUAAGCACCGGCUAACUCCGUGCCAGCAGCCGCGGUAAUACGGAGGGUGCGAGCGUUAUCCGGAAUUACUGGGUUUAAAGGGUGCGUAGGCGGUUUAAUAAGUCAGAGGUGAAAGGCACGAGCUUAACUGGUGAAUUGCCUUUGAUACUGUUAGGCUAGAAUUAUGUUGAGGUUAGCGGAAUGUGACAUGUAGCGGUGAAAUGCAUAGAUAUGUCAUAGAACACCGAUUGCGAAGGCAGCUAACUGGGCAUUAAUUGACGCUGAGGCACGAAAGCGUGGGGAGCGAACAGGAUUAGAUACCCUGGUAGUCCACGCCCUAAACGAUGCUAACUUGAUGUUUUGGACUUAUGUUUU
rnacentral:rRNA from 1 species